ensembl:lncRNA
AUGCUUCUGCAAUGUUCUGAAGACAGUUAAACUUGUCAGGUAGUGAUGUCCAGCAGGUGAAAAUGCAAGCUCCAUGAACACGCACAGCUAUGGAUUCCAACUGCGUUUGUAGUUCUGCAAACUUUGACCCCCACAGAGUCGAGCUUUUUGGUUCAAUCAGGUGCACUUCGAUGUCCUCUGUGUCCAGCCAGUUAAUGCAAGACAAAUCCAGCUGCUCAUUAAAGCUUUCUGGUUUGAUCAGAAAAAAAUACAUUGGUCCAUACACCUGAAAGUCCCAAAAACAAAUUGUGAAUUCUGUCUCGAGUCUUCGGAUGUAUCCAUGUAUAUACGUGGUGCUGAUGCUGAUGAGUGGACAGCUCCUGAAGCAUUUGAAGUGUUGGAAUGUGGAAAUGUCAACAUCGCUUGGUGUGGCAGCAAGAGGUGGGGAUGGAAUAAAUACUCAAUUUAAAAGACAAUGCCACCCUGUGAAUUUCACCCAGAGAAUACUGGAUCUAAAUAAUGCUAAUUACCAGGAAGACACUAAGAUCCAUUAUACUCAAUAUACUGUUUUAUCAGUGAUAAAACAGACAAUUUAUUAAUAAUGAUUUAAAACAGCAUAUAAAAACACGAGCCGAGGCUUGCCAGUGGAGGGGCAGGGAUGCCACGCACAAAAACAGCUCAAAAAGAAAAGAAAACUCACCAAUACACAAGUGCAGCACACUAUCACACGCUCACACUAAUAAACUAAAAAUGCAGGUGUGUAACACUCAAAGGAUCCCACAACCAAGGCACCCCGGUCUCCUCCACGUCAGGCCCUCCACAUCUGAAUAAAAGAAACAAAGAAAAUUUUAAUAUAUUCCAAAAAAAAUAGUUUGCACACACUGGGGUUAGCCCAACUGCAGGAACACACUGGUGAUCCGCAACUCGAUAAAGGGCCUCCUACCGGUGGUGUAACAAAAAAAAUAAACUACAAAUCAAAACAACCGAACAUACAAACUAAAUAAAACCUUAAAUCUAGAGCAGACGGAGUUACCGUAUUACUCCAAUUUGCUGUCCGCCCGACUACUUUAAUUUAACAAUUCAGUCUAUCAACAUGCACGCCAGCUGACUCCCGUAGCCGGCAUGUAUGUAGCCGCUGUCCACGCUGACAUCCACUCUUAAGAGGCUGGCAGCAGCAGGGAAAAAUAACCCUCGCAAACGGAAACAGACGGUAAAAGGCAAAGCAGCAGCACUUCUGUUAGCGUAGCAUAGAAAACCGUAGUGACCUUGCUGUAAAGCUACUGGCUGCCCUCUAAGGCCCACACUUCCUGCAAUACAUAAUAAGCGUUUACUAUAAAACAACAAUAAAAGGCAGAGAUCACAACGAAGCUGAGUUACGUACCAAUUAAACGGCGUCACUCAAUUCAUGAACAGAGUGGCCCAUAGGAGGCUUCUACAGCUAUGACCUAUAAACAACACUGGUUUACCACAGCUAAAUAAUGUACGCACAGCACCAAAUACACACAUACCA